GAGCAUCCUCUUGUCGUGUUCCACCACUUCAGAUUACCGCCACCCCUUUUCGUGUAAUAGAUGAUGAUGGUGAUGACACUUCCCACCAUGAGCCACCACCUUCUGCUGCUUCACCUUCUGCUGCUUCACCAUAUAUUGCUUCACCAUCUGGUAACCCCAACAAAAGGGCUAAACCCUCAACUCCUAUACCCCCAUGUGCUUCACCAUCAGCUUCUUCACUUGAUGGAACUUCUAUUACUGCUGACGAAUUAGCAUUAGAAAUGAAAAAAGCUCUACAAAGUUUGACUAAAGGGUAUACAAUCCCUCAAUGUUUAGAGAAGUUAGAGGUGCUUCAAUUAGGCCCUACAGAUUCUUUACGCUUUGUUGCAUAUCAUAUUUUCGGAGGGACCAUGAACAUGAGAGANNNNNNNNNNNNNNNNNNNNNNNNNNNNNNNNNNNNNNNNNNNNNNNNNNNNNNNNNNNNNNNNNNNNNNNNNNNNNNNNNNNNNNNNNNNNNNNNNNNNCCCUAAAACCAUUGAACGUUGGUCUCCCCAGCGUCUGGACGGUCCUCGUUCUUCUCUUCCUCCUCGUUCCCCUGGUCCAUCUUCACAUGAUCACCCAUCUACCCCUCCUCGUGAUCGUGGUGUUCGCUCGUUAACCCGUACGGAGUGGGAAGAACGCCGGAAAAAAGGUCUCUGUUUCCGAUGCGGUCAACAAUUCGGACCAGGUCACAAAUGCCCUGAUGGGAAAUUACGUGUACUCAUUCUGGGUGAUGAUGAAGUUGAUGAGGGCAGUAAUUACAGGUAUACCGAAACUCCUCCUCUGGAAGACUCCCCACUUUUGCCCAACGACGAAGGACACUGUGCUGCCUUGGAAUUCACUGGCACUUCUACCGAAUGUAGUGGAGGUAAGACUCUGAAAUUUGAUGGGGAACUUUUGGGAAUUCCUGUUGUGGUUUUGGUUGAUAGUGGAGCCACCCACAAUUUUUUGUCCCGUCAAUUGGUGCUGGCAUUAGGCAUUUCUUCUAUUCCAUUUCAUGGCAUCAACAUUAAGCUGGGGGAUGGACAUGUGGUUCGUGUAACUGAGAAGUGUGUCAAUCUUCAUAUUUUGAUGGGUGGUUGCUCUUUUGCUGUGAAUCUCUUAGUUUUUGACACUGGGAAUCCUGAUAUCAUCUUGGGAAUGGAAUGGUUAAAAACCUUGGGCGAAGUCACGCAUAAUUGGGAUAAAUCCUGGAUGCGUUUCUCUUAUCAGGGUAUGAUGGUUCAGCUUCAAGGUUUAAUUCCUGGGCAACCAUCUCAAGCCUCUCUGCAUAAAUGGUUACAAGUCCAAUCCUCAUCCUCAAUCAGUCCUUCUGUGACUCGGGAGACUUCCAGUGGGUUGGUUUAUUCUAUGGCAGAGACAGGGCUAUCCUUGGUUCAGCAGGAUGAGUUGCAGGUGUUAUUUUGCAAGUUUGAUGGGGUUUUUCAGCCUCCCAGGGGGUUGCCUCUGUCCCGUCCCCAUGACCACAUUAUUGCUUUGGAAAAUCUUCAAGCACCUGUGUGUGUCCGUCCGUAUCGUUACCCUCAUGUCCAAAAGUCCGAAAUUGAACGUCAGGUUCAAGAGCUUUUGAAUUUAGGGUUGAUUCGACCCAGUAAAAGUGCUUAUUCGAGCCCGGUGAUUUUGGUUCGCAAGAAGGAUAAUACCUGGCGGAUGUGUGUGGACUAUAGGGCCCUGAAUAAGGCAACCAUUCCUGAUAAGUUUCCAAUUCCUGUAGUGGAAGAAUUGUUAGAUGAGUUAAUUGGUGCUUGUUACUUUUCCAAGCUCGAUCUCAAAUCGGGCUAUAAUCAAAUCAGAAUGCAUGAGGAUAGUGUUGAGAAGACGGCAUUUCGUACCCAUGACGGCCAUUAUGAAUACUUGGUAAUGCCUUUUGGCUUGAUGAACGCUCCUGCUACAUUUCAAGCUGUGAUGAAUGAUGUUUUUCGGCCUUUGUUACGAAAGAAGGUGGUCAUUUUUUUUGAUGAUAUUUUGGUUUACAGUGCAACGUGGCAAGAUCAUUUGCACGAUUUAGCAACAGUGCUUCGAAUUUUGGAAUAUAAUCAGUUUGUGGUUAACCAAAAGAAGUGUUCAUUUGGACAGCAAUCCAUUGAAUACUUGGGUCACAUUAUCGAUGGAAAAGGUGUGUCGAUGGACCCAACAAAGGUAGAUGCAGUGGUGGAGUGGCCAGUGCCCAAACAGUUGAAAGGCCUUCGGGGGUUUUUGGGAUUAACGGGCUAUUACCGGAAGUUCGUUAGGAAUUAUGGGAGUAUAGCACGUCCAUUAACUGAUUUAACAAAAAAAGAUGCUUUUAAAUGGAAUUCGGAGGCACAAAUGGCAUUUGACAAUUUAAAGAAUGCUUUGGUUACAGCCCCUGUUCUUGCUUUACCGGAUUUUUCGGUUCCUUUUGUCGUUGAAUGUGAUGCUUCCGGAAGGGGUAUUGGGGCAGUUUUGAUGCAACGAAAUAAGCCGAUUGCUUAUUUUAGCAGGGCGCUUAGUGAUCAAAAUUUGUCGAAAUCGGCAUAUGAACGAGAGAUUAUGGCUUUGGUACUUGCAGUUCAACAUUGGAGGUCGUAUUUACUGGGGACCAAAUUUGUGGUGUACACCGACCAAAAGAGCCUCAAGUUUUUAUUACAACAACGCAUCACGUCCCCAGAUCAACAAAAUUGGGUGGCCAAACUCUUGGGUUACGAUUUUGACAUUCAAUAUAAACCGGGUCGCGAAAAUCGAGCAGCUGACGCUCUUUCCCGACGAGCCGAAGCCGGGGAACUCCAUCAACUACAAUCUGCCCCUGUGUGGGUUCAGGGGGCACAGUUGGUCAAGGAAGCACAAGAAGAUCGUGACAUUCAACGUAUCAUGCAAGCAUGUCAAGAUUCUUCAACGCGUCAUCCGGGGUUUUCUGUUCGCAAUGGGAUCUUGUAUUACAGGGAUCGAUUGGUAAUUCCUCGUCAAUCUAAGUUUAUCCCAGCCCUUCUCCAUGAAUUCCAUGUGUCUGCUACCGGUGGACACUCAGGGUAUUACCGUACGUAUCGGAGGUUAGCUGCUAACCUUUAUUGGCCUGGCAUGAUUGAGUGUAUUAAGAACUUUGUGCGUGCUUGUGAUGUUUGUCAACGUUGCAAGGCAAGUUCUUUGGCUCCCGGAGGUCUUCUACAACCCUUAGAUAUUCCAAAAGCAAUUUGGGAAGACCUUUCUCUAGAUUUUAUACUUGGUCUACCCAAAUCUAAAGGGUUUGAUGCGGUUCUUGUGGUGGUGGACAGGCUGUCUAAAUAUGCCCAUUUCAUACUUUUGAAGCAUCCGUAUACUGCCAGAACUGUAGCUGAGGUUUUUGUUCGAGAGGUGGUCCGCCAUCAUGGCAUUCCUAAGUCUAUUGUGAGUGAUCGUGACCCUUUGUUCAUUAGUAAAUUCUGGCAGGAAAUUUUCAAGGCCCAAGGCACUCAAUUGCACAUGAGUUCAGCAUACCACCCGGAAUCGGAUGGGCAAACAGAAGUGAUUAACAGGUGCUUGGAAGCAUAUCUUCGGUGCUUUGCAGUGGAUCAGCCACGUUUAUGGACCACAUGGAUCCCAUGGGCUGAGUUUUGGUACAACUCUACCUUUCAUGGAUCCACCGGCAUCUCCCCUUUUGAAGUAGUUUAUGGGCGCAAACCACCAACUGUAUUCCAAUACGUUCCAGGAGAAGUCCGGGUUCAGGCUGUAUCACAAGAGCUUCAGGAUCGGGAUGAGGCACUUCGACAGUUGAAAGUUCACUUAGCUCAAGCUCAAAGUACUAUGAAGGCCCAGGCAGACAAGAAACGCAGAGAUAGUCAUUUUCAGAACGGAGAAUGGGUGUAUGUCAAACUGAAGCCCUAUCGACAAAAGUCUGUUUCUAGUAGNNNNNNNNNNNNNNNNNNNNNNNNNNNNNNNNNNNNNNNNNNNNNNNNNNNNNNNNNNNNNNNNNNNNNNNNNNNNNNNNNNNNNNNNNNNNNNNNNNNNGACACUUCCCACCAUGAGCCACCACCUUCUGCUGCUUCACCUUCUACCGCUUCACCUUCUGCAGCUUCACAUUCUGCUGCUUCACCUUCUGCUGCUUCACCAUAUACUGCUUCACCAUCUGGUAACCCCAACAAAAGGGCUAAACCCUCAACUCCUAUACCUCCAUGUGCUUCACCAUCAGCUUCUUCACCUGAUGGAACUUCUAUUACUGCUGAGGACUUAGCAUUAGAAAUGAAAAAAGCUCUACAAAGUUUGACUAAAGGGUAUACAAUCCCUCAAUGUUUAGAGAAGUUAGAGGUGCUUCAAUUAGGCCCUACAGAUCCUUUACACUUUGUUGCAUAUCAUAUUUUCGGAGGGACCAUGAACAUGAGAGAGAUGUGGAUGCAUUUGCCUGAUGUUCCCGAGAUAUUACGAGGAUGGCUUGAGAUGACGGGUACAAGUUUAGAAGUUUUGAAGGAUGGAAAGAUUGUCCGUUGAUUUUUCUAGUGCUGAAACUAUUUGUUAGGUCUUUUGCAUUUGUUGGAACUAUUUUGUUAGGUAUUUUUGCCUUUGUUGGAACUAUUUUUUGCUACUUUGCUACUUGGAAUCUAGUUUACCUAAUGUUUUUUUGGUACUUGAAAUAUGGUUUAAGUAAUGUUUUUUUGCUACUUGAAAUAUGG
rnacentral:lncRNA from 1 species